rnacentral:misc_RNA from 1 species
GCUCCUCUCUUGCUUGUUGAAUAAGGGCAGUGGGGCUUCAUCCCAAGCAGGUCUCACUAUGACUCCAAAUGCCUCUCUUGUCUGCGCUACAUGCCUCCUGUAGAUGCCAUUUUGGACAACAAUUUUUGACCAUAUGUACUCUGUUAAAGCUACAGGCCCUGCGUCAAAACUGGAAGCGAGCAUCUAGAAGGAUUUUGAAACGCAUUGCAAGUGAGAUGAGA